GGAAGGUAGUGUAGUUAACACCUGCAUUAUUUGACGUUACCUACAGAAGAAGCACCGGCUAACUCCGUGCCAGCAGCCGCGGUAAUACGGAGGGUGCGAGCGUUAAUCGGAAUUACUGGGCGUAAAGCGCAUGCAGGCGGCCUGUUAAGUCAGAUGUGAAAGACCCGGGGCGUUAACCUCGGAAUUGCAUUUGUAAACUAGGCAGGCUAGAGUCUUGUAGAGGGGGGUAGGAAUUUCAGGUGUAGCGGUGAAAUGCGUAGAGAUCUGAAGGAAUACCAGUGGCGAAGGCGGCCCCCUCGGACAAAGACUGACGCUCAGAUGCGAAAGCGUGGGGAGCAAACAGGAUUAGAUACCCUGGUAG
rnacentral:rRNA from 1 species